AUUGAACGCUGGCGGCAUGCUUUACACAUGCAAGUCGAACGGCAGCACGGGUGCUUGCACCUGGUGGCGAGUGGCGAACGGGUGAGUAAUAUAUCGGAACGUGCCCAGUCGUGGGGGAUAACGUAGCGAAAGCUACGCUAAUACCGCAUACGAUCUAUGGAUGAAAGCGGGGGAUCGCAAGACCUCGCGCGAUUGGAGCGGCCGAUAUCAGAUUAGGUAGUUGGUGGUGUAAAAGCCUACCAAGCCUUCGAUCUGUAGCUGGUCUGAGAGGACGACCAGCCACACUGGAACUGAGACACGGUCCAGACUCCUACGGGAGGCAGCAGUGGGGAAUUUUGGACAAUGGGCGCAAGCCUGAUCCAGCAAUGCCGCGUGCAGGAUGAAGGCC
rnacentral:rRNA from 1 species